GACGAACGCUGGCGGCGUGCCUAAUACAUGCAAGUAGAACGCACAGUUUAUACCGUAGCUUGCUACACCAUAGACUGUGAGUUGCGAACGGGUGAGUAACGCGUAGGUAACCUGCCUGGUAGCGGGGGAUAACUAUUGGAAACGAUAGCUAAUACCGCAUAAUAUUAAUUAUUGCAUGAUAAUUAAUUGAAAGGUGCAAUUGCACCACUACCAGAUGGACCUGCGUUGUAUUAGCUAGUAGGUGAGGUAACGGCUCACCUAGGCGACGAUACAUAGCCGACCUGAGAGGGUGAUCGGCCAAACUGGGACUGAGACACGGCCCAGACGCCAACGGGAGGCAGCAGGAGGGAAUCUUCGGCAAAGGACGAAAGUCUGACCGAGCAACGCCGCGUGAGUGAAGAAGGUUUUCGGAUCGUAAAGCUCUGUUGUAAGAGAAGAACGGGUGUGAGAGUGGAAAGUUCACACUGUGACGGUAUCUUACCAGAAAGGGACGGCUAACUACGUG
rnacentral:rRNA from 1 species